UACAGAGACUGCGAGCGUUAUUCGGAUUCACUGGGCGUAAAGGGUGCGCAGGCGGCCGAGUGUGUGAGGCGUAAAAGCCCGGGGCUUAACCCCGGAAUUGCGCCUCAAACUACACGGCUAGAGCAUUGGAGAGGGUAGCAGAAUUCACGGUGUAGCAGUGAAAUGCGUAGAUAUCGUGAGGAAUACCAGAGGCGAAGGCGGCUACCUGGACAAUUGCUGACGCUCAGGCACGAAAGCGUGGGGAGCAAAAGGG
rnacentral:rRNA from 1 species